rnacentral:rRNA from 1 species
UACGUAGGGUGCAAGCGUUGUCCGGAAUUAUUGGGCGUAAAGAGCUCGUAGGCGGUCUGUCGCGUCUGCUGUGAAAACUCAGGGCUUAACCCUGGGCCUGCAGUGGGUACGGGCAAACUAGAGUGCGGUAGGGGAGAUCGGAAUUCCUGGUGUAGCGGUGAAAUGCGCAGAUAUCAAGAGGAACACCUGAGGCGAAGGCGGGUUGCUAGGCUGACACUGACGCUGAGGCGCGAAAGCUAGGGUAGCAAACGGG